rnacentral:rRNA from 1 species
UACAGGGGGGGCAAGCGUUGUUCGGAAUUACUGGGCGUAAAGGGCUUGUAGGCGGCCAACUAAGUCCGACGUGAAAUCCCUAGGCUUAACCUAGGAACUGCGUCGGAUACUGGAUGGCUUGAAUCCGGGAGAGGGAUGCGGAAUUCCAGGUGUAGCGGUGAAAUGCGUAGAUAUCUGGAGGAACACCGGUGGCGAAGGCGGCAUCCUGGACCGGUAUUGACGCUGAGGCACGAAGGUCAGGGGAGCAAACGGG